rnacentral:tRNA from 1 species
GUUUUAAUAGUUUAAAUAAAACAUCGGUCUUGUAAACCGAAAUCGAGCAGUCCCACACUUUUAAAACU